CGCCAUUGGAGAUCGAGGCUUAACCUGUUCUCCAAGAGCGAGCGUUUCAUCUUCUUCCUUAUCAAUCUGCAGUGAUACCGGUUACAGAUUACCCCUCUUCAACUCUUUCUUAAAUACAUACCCAUGAUCUCUCUUGAAUGCGAUCUUAACUCAUGAAAGGCGGUGGAAUUUCGACUAUAAAAGGUGCGGUUGCUCUGUUAUUGGGAGCCCAGGAACAUCGGAUGCAGUGGCGAACUCAUGAGAGUCGAUAUGUUGCUGCUUGAUUCCCAGGUUGUAAAGAAAGAUGAAGAUGUGAAAGUGAUUGUAGCGGGUGACGAUUGGUUGACUCCGUCACCAAAGGUUGUAUUCGAUGAAAGCAAAGAGUUAGGUGAAGAGUCUACCAUUAAAGCUGUGAGGUAGUUUUGUAUGUGUUGAGUAUUUUUCCAUCUAUGUGCUUACCAGCUUCAUAUUAGAAGCCACGGUUUGAACACUGCUAGCUUUAAUUUUUUAAUGCUCGAUGAUAUCAUCCAAAUAGUUUCUGUGUUAUACUUUGAUUCUUAAGUUUUGAAUUGAAAUAUCCAAUGUAUUAGAAGCUAUGAUUUUGUAUGUAUGUGCUUCUUAUGUUUCUAUUAGAAGUUACUAUUUUUUCCUC